AUUGGCAAAUAGUACGGAGAGCAGCUGUCCAGAUGGCCUGAAAGCCUUUUACUGUUUCACACAAAGUAAUAUCGGCUGGAUGACACUUAAUAGAUACCAGUUUGCAUGAUAAAGGUAUGCCACCAACCACCGUAUUUUCUCAGUUUGAUACACGUGCCAACUGUCUAUAUCACUGUUGCUGGAAGCGAGGCAGUAUUCGCUUAAGAUAUUGACAUGUUUUGACCAAAUGACCGUGGCUCAACAGGAAAUACAUGGAACUGCUCAACAGGAAAUACAGAGGAUGUCUGGAUGCCCAGGGAAGAACAGUACUGAAGUGAUUUCGAUAUUGACAUACUUUGACCGAAAUGAUCGCAGUACAAUGGAUGGCAUCCGGAAUGUUUAGCAAGCGCAUAUUGGAACUCGGAGCCUUUAAAAUGAAAUAUUGCAUGAAGAUCCAACAGAUGCAGUGUGUAGAAUUAUAAAUAUUAGACCAAACCCAAAAUGCAUAUUU